UGAAACACGGACCAAGGAGUCUAACAUGCUUGCGAGUGAAUGAGUGUUGAAACUCAGACGCGAAAUGAAAGUGAAAGUUCAGUCUCUCACACGACCCGGCCGGCCCAGUGCUGUUGGUGCAGUGUGGUGUCAUCGCGGUAGCUUGCUACGUGGUGAACACAGAGCAGUCAUGUUGGGACCCGAAAGAUGGUGAACUAUGCCUGAGCAGGACGAAGCCAGAGGAAACUCUGGUGGAGGUCCGAAGCAGUUCUGACGUGCAAAUCGAUUGUCAGACUUGGGUAUAGGGGCGAAAGACUAAUCGAACCAUCUAGUAGCUGGUUCCCUCCGAAGUUUCCCCCAGGAUAGCUGGUGCUCAGUGAAUGCAGUCUUAUCCGGUAAAGCGAAUGAUUAGAGGACUUGGGGACGAAACGACCUCAACCUAUUCUCAAACUUUAAAUGGGUAAGAAGUCUGGCUUGCCUGACCGAAGCCUAGACAAUGGAUGUGAGUGCCAAGUGGGCCAUUUUUGGUAAGCA
rnacentral:rRNA from 2 species